rnacentral:rRNA from 1 species
CCUACGGGUGGCUACAGUGGGGAAUAUUGGACAAUGGGCGAAAGCCUGAUCCAGCCAUGCCGCGUGUGUGAAGAAGGCCUUCGGGUUGUAAAGCACUUUCAGUGGGGAAGAAAGCCUUGGGGCUAAUACCCUCGAGGAAGGACAUCACCCACAGAAGAAGCACCGGCUAACUCCGUGCCAGCAGCCGCGGUAAUACGGAGGGUGCGAGCGUUAAUCGGAAUUACUGGGCGUAAAGCGCGCGUAGGCGGUCUGAUAAGCCGGUUGUGAAAGCCCCGGGCUCAACCUGGGAACGGCAUCCGGAACUGUCAGGCUAGAGUGCAGGAGAGGAAGGUAGAAUUCCCGGUGUAGCGGUGAAAUGCGUAGAGAUCGGGAGGAAUACCAGUGGCGAAGGCGGCCUUCUGGACUGACACUGACGCUGAGGUGCGAAAGCGUGGGUAGCAAACAGGAUUAGAUACCCUUGUAGUC